rnacentral:snoRNA from 11 species
AAGACUGUGCUUCACAGGAUCAUUUCUGUAGGCAAGUUUUCACCACAAGUUUUUACCGAAAGGAAAAGCUUUCCCACCCACGAUGAUGAGACAAUGGUGGCCAGUUUGGAGCGUGAAACUUGGUUCAGUGAGACCAUUCGAUUCUUUCGGAAGGACUUCGGGCUUUUGAUGAUCGGCUUCCUUGCAAUAAAACUGGCCGCGGUCUGAGUGGU